rnacentral:rRNA from 1 species
AGCGAACGUUAGCGGCAGGCCUAACACAUGCAAGUCGCGCGAGAAUGGGGCUUCGGCUCCUAGUAAAGCGGCGGACGGGUGAGUAACACGUGGAUAAUCUGCCCUUCGGCGGGGGACAACAGUCCGAAAGGAUUGCUAAUACCGCGUAAGUCGGCGAGGUCUUCGGAUCUUGUCGGGAAAGAUGGCCUCUUCAUGAAAGCUAUCACCGAAGGAUGAGUCCGCGUCCCAUCAGCUAGUUGGCGGUGUAAGAGACCACCAAGGCUAAGACGGGUAGCUGGUCUGAGAGGAUGAUCAGCCACACUGGAACUGAGACACGGUCCAGACUCCUACGGGAGGCAGCAGUGGGGAAUAUUGGGCAAUGGGCGCAAGCCUGACCCAGCCAUGCCGCGUGAGUGAUGAAGGCCUU